AUUGAGUGGGAAUAAGAAACUAAAAUGAUUUAUAUUAAACAAGCCUAUUUUACAGUGUUAAUUGUGUGUUAAAAGCUGUGAAAUAGGUUUGUUUUUAUAUUAUUCCCCACCAGUCUCCCCACCACGAUAUA
rnacentral:sRNA from 1 species